UUUUUAGUUUUUGUUUAUGUUUUAAUGAUGAAAAGAUUAUUUCUGGGAGGUAAUAUCAGUGAAAUAUUUUACCUGACUUGUAUUAAAAAGUGUGAUAAUGUGAUAAAUAAGAAUAUACAGUCUUAAUAUUCUUCUUGAUUCAUAAGUGGCUUUUUUAAAAUUUCUUAAGAAUGACUGGUGGGAAUCCUAGCAAUAACAAUACCUUAAACUUAUGUAGAGUUUAAUAUUUUCAGAGCAUUUACACAUAUUAUUUUGGCAAAGAGAUGGUCACAGCCCACCUUAGUGUUAGGGUAGAAUAUUAUACUUUUUAUUUUCCCAGUUUGCACUUGUCCGUGUCCAUGUGUUCAUCAAAAGCCCCAUUUGAACUGUGUGUUGUCAUUCUUACUAUGAUUCUCUAAGGAAGUGGCCACAGGAAAAUUGUGGUUUUGGAUCGUGUUUUAUUGUAAUAAUCACGUGACCAAACUUGUCAGGGAAAAUCUUGAUGCUAUAUCAGAAUCAGCAUUAACAAUGUAGAAUGGUCACUACUAGGUGAAAAGGUAGUAUGUAUUCUGGUUGAUGCUUAUACUCAACCAUAUUUCCCUACUGGUUUGGUAAAAGAAAUUUACUAAAUUAGUGAAGUUCUGAGGUGACAGUGUAAACUUCUAAACUUUUAACAUGUGAGAUGUAUUCCUCAUCUCCCUUUCACACAGUGAGAGGUCAGUCAUUGAAGGCCAGCAAGCAUUUAUACGAGGCAAGGUGUGAAUGAUGCUGAUUUCAUUUAUUUCAUUCUAUAACUUUUAAAAAAGUAAAAAAAAAAUAAUAAAAUGUGGUAGUGGAUUGGCUUAUUGUAUAUUUCAUGAAUUUCACUUUUACUCAGAAAUCUAAAAUGAUCUGAAAAUGGAAGAGAGAUGACUGAUUAUAUAUUCUAAGGGCUCUUCUCAAUGUAUCACACCCUGGAAAUGCUUUGUGAUUUCAAAGCUGUUCUCAACUUUUGUCUAAAAGGCAAAGAAAGGGAAGAAAAGGGCUAACAGUGACAACUGUCAAGACAUUUCACAACUUUUAUUUUCAAAAAAGUGUCUAGGCUUCUUAUGGAAAUUUUCUUAGGAUUUCGGUAAGUCUUUUGUAUCAUGAAAAAGACUGAUACAGCAUCAAGACCUAUUCAGUCUGUAUUGAUGUUAGGGAAAGCCUUUACUCUUAUUGGCAGCCCCAGUCCUUAAGCCUAUGUCAUAUGUUUGAAGUAGAGAAUAACCUUUUUUUUUUAAGAUAAUGAAAUUAUUUCACAACAGUGUGAUUUGUUGCAUUUGGUUUGAUUGAAGUUUGCUGAUCAUAGCAUUCUCAUUAAUGACAUUACUUUUCAUUGACUGAACCAGGAGUUAGCCUGUUUACUGUCAGCCCUAUUUUUACAAAAUAAGCUUUACAAUUUUUUUCUGACUUAAAAAAUAAUAAACACCACUUUAAGAACCCUUAUACAAAAUUGGAAAUUAUAGAGAAAAAAUAAAAAUCUGAAGUCCCAGAACCUAGAAAUAAACUAUUGGUAUAUUAUAGUGAAUUUUCUUCUUCCCUUUCUGUUUUUUUCUAUGUAUUUUUGUUAACCUUUCUUUAAGAAGGAAAACCAUAUAUGGACUGAUGUAACUUACAUACUUACAUCCUAAUAUCCCCCCUUGUUUUCAGAAAAAUUUUUUAUAGCUGCCUAUGCUCUACUUUUAUGGAUGCAGUAUAAUUUACUUAGCUCUCAUCUUGAUGGAUAUUAAGGAUAUUUCCAAGUUUUUUGAUAUUAUGAAAGUAAUUCUGCUAAAGAUAGGUAAGACUGGAAACGGCAGAGGUAUUUUAAGGCUCUUGAUACAUACUGCCAAAAUGUUUUCUAGAAAGUUUGUAUCAAUUACUUACAGAUGAGAAUAUCUGUUUCUUUAAUAAGUUUAUUUAUUUUGAGAGAAUGAGCAGGGGAGGGGCAGAGAGAGAGGGAAAGAGAGAGAAUCCUAAGCACUAUUACUGCGGAGCCUGACGCAGGGCUUGAACUCACAUACUGUGAGAUCAUGACCUGAGCCAAAACCAAGAGUCAGACGCUUAACCAACGAAGCCACCCAGGUGCCCCAAGAAUAUCUGUUUUUUACCUCUGAAUCCUGACAUAAUUAUAACUCUAAAAUCUUUGCUAGUAAUUUGAUGACAAAAAAAGCAUCUUGUUUUAAUUUUCAUUUUUGUGUUAGGUUGAAUGCUCUUUUUUUGUAUUUAUUCCACUGAUCAUAUUUUAAAGAACAUGCUAAUUAAGCUAAGAAAAUAUUUUGAUGGCAAUUUUUUAUUUAGGCUCUUCUUAGAACAAGUAUAUGUGGGGUGUGUGUGUAUGUGUGGAGGAGGACCUAUAUAUUUGAUUCGCUCAUUCUGGACUCACAUUUAAAGGUGUUUAUGAUAAGAACACCUAUUUAUUUGUGGAACUCUUGCUCUGUAUGAUGGAUGCUGCGGAGCACAUCUGCAGUCACAUUUUCAUCUCACAAGAACUCUGUGGGGGUAGGUACCAUUGUUAUUACCAUUUUGUAGAAAAAUACGGAAGUGCAGGUAGGUUAGGCAGUUGGCCACAACCCCCCAGCUGUUCUCUGGUAGUACUGGGAUUUGAACCAGUGCUAUUUACCACUGCAAUAUACUGCCUCCGUGUCUUGAACUUACUUUGAGAACUUUUUUUUUCCAUGAAGAGUGAACCUAUAUGUGGGUACACAUACUGAGUAGAUGAAACUAUUACUGACAGAGCAGAAUGUAGACCUACUUUGUUUUAAUUUAUUCAACAAAUGUCUAUUGACAGGGUGCCUACUGAUUGCUAGGCAUGGGCUAUAGGCUCGAGAUGUGGAAGUGAAAUGCAUAUUGCCCCUGGCUUUGUAGCACCCACAUUUCAGUUGAGGAGACAUGAGAAAGAGUUACUUUCUACCAGAAAUGUAUCUUGAACUGUAUCUCAAGAUGCGAUUGAUCCUACUGAGGAAGAAGCCUGAGAAGACUUUUAAACUGCUGAAGCCAAGCCAGGACUUGUUGUGCUCCUUGAUAUUUAUCCAAGUGGAGUUGGAAACUUACGUCCACACAGAAACUGGCACACAGAUAUUUAUGGCAGCUUUACUGUUCUACAACAGGUGAGUGGAUAAACUGGUACAUCCAUACAUGGAUAUUAUUCAACAAUAAAAAGAAAUGAGCUCUCAAGUUGCCAUGAAAAGACAUGGGGGAUACUUAAAUACAUAUUAUUAAGUGAAGUCAAUCUGAAAAGGCUGCAUACUUUAUGAUACCAAUUAUAAGACACUCUGAAAGAGCCACAAUUGUGGAUAUAAUAAAAAGAUGAGUGAUUGCCAGGGAAGGGGCUAGGGGUGGAGGAGAAAUGCAUAGGCCAGAGCACAGGAUUUUUAGGGCAGUGAAGUUACUCUGUACGAUAUAAUGAUGGAUAGGUGUCAUUAUGCAUUUCUAUAAACUCAAGAACAUACAACAAGAGUGAACCCCUACGGUAAACUAGGGACUUUGGAUGAUUAGGAUGUGUCAACAUAGGUUUAUCCUUUGUAGAAAAUAUACCAUUUUGAUGAGUAAUGUUGAUAAUGGGGAAGGUCACUCGUGUUUAAGGGGUAGGGUAUAUAUGGGAAUUCUCUGUACCUUCCUUUCAUUUUGUUGUAAACCUAAAACUAUACUAAAAAAAUAAAGUCUUAAAACACAA